AUUGAACGCUGGCGGCGUGCUUAACACAUGCAAGUCGAUCGGUAACGCGGGGGCAACCCUGGCGACGAGAGGCGGACGGGUGAGGAACGCUUGGGAAUCUGCCUAUCAGCGGGGGACAACCCGGGGAAACUCGGGCUAAUACCGCAUACGCUCUACGGAGGAAAGCCGGGGACCGCAAGGCCUGGCACUGAUAGAUGAGCCCAAGUCGGAUUAGCUAGUUGGCGGGGUAACGGCCCACCAAGGCGACGAUCCGUAGCUGGUCUGAGAGGACGAUCAGCCACGCGGGGACUGAGACACGGCCCAGACGACUACGGGAGGCCGCAGUGGGGAAUAUUGGACAAUGGGGGAAACCCUGAUCCAGCGACGCCGCGUGGGUGAAGAAGGCGUGCGGGUUGCAAAGCCCUUUCGGUAGGGACGAAAACUCUCGACUUAACACGUCGGGAGCUUGACUUAACCUACAAAAGAAGCACCGGCUAACUCUGUGCCAGCCGCCGCGGUAAUAC
rnacentral:rRNA from 1 species